rnacentral:rRNA from 1 species
AACGUAGGUACCGAGCGUUAUCCGGAUUUACUGGGCGUAAAGCGCGUUCAGGCGGUUUGGCAAGUCGGGCAUGAAAUCUCUCGGCUCAACCGGGAGAGGUUGUCCGAUACUUCCAGACUUGAGGGCAGUAGAGGGUGGUGGAAUUCCGGGUGUAGUGGUGAAAUGCGUAGAUAUCUGGAGGAACACCGGUGGCGAAGGCGGCAUCCUGGACCGGCAUUGACGCUGAGGCGCGAAAGCCAGGGGAGCAAACGGG